rnacentral:rRNA from 1 species
AGUGAACGCUGGCGGUAGGCCUAACACAUGCAAGUCGAACGGCAGCACAGUAAGAGCUUGCUCUUACGGGUGGCGAGUGGCGGACGGGUGAGGAAUACAUCGGAAUCUAUUUUUUCGUGGGGGAUAACGUAGGGAAACUUACGCUAAUACCGCAUACGUCCUACGGGUGAAAGCAGGGGAUCUUCGGACCUUGCGCGAUUGAAUGAGCCGAUGUCGGAUUAGCUAGUUGGCGGGGUAAAGGCCCACCAAGGCGACGAUCCGUAGCUGGUCUGAGAGGAUGAUCAGCCACACUGGAACUGAGACACGGUCCAGACUCCUACGGGAGGCAGCAGUGGGGAAUAUUGGACAAUGGGGGCAAGCCUGAUCCAGCCAUACCGCGUGGGUGAAGAAGGCCUUCGGGUUGUAAAGCCCUUUUGUUGGGAAAGAAGAGCAGCAGGUUAAUACCCCGCUGUUAUGACGGUACCCAAAGAAUAAGCACCGGCUAACUUCGUG